UGGUAUGCAUAUUGCCAAGUCAGCAAGAGUACUCAGAUGCAACGUAUUCUGUGCAUGCAGUACGACGGUUGUAGUUUGAACCAGUUCUGGAAGCUCCCACACAGGUGGGUGUGUCUAAUCCCUUGCAGAUGAAGGAAGCUAUUGACUUUUAAAAUAAGGGUCCUCUGUAGACGCUCGAUGUAAUUGCAUACAUGUACGUUCAGCAGAACACCAAGUUUGAACGUGGCGAGGGUACGAAGACGAGGAGAGUGCUAACUAUUCAUGAGAAUGCUGCUGAACCAGACAGAGUAUCUGCAUCAAAACUACAGUUUACAUUACAUGUGGAGACACCAUCAAGAAAGUCUCGAACUACAACACGUACAAUGAUG